AUGGCGGAAUGCUUCAAUAGGGUGCUCAAAGGUGCACGUGGAUUACCCGUGACGGCAAUAGUUCAAUACACAUUUGACAAGAUGAAUGCGUACUUUGUAAAGUACUCGAUGGAAACCGAUGCACAAAUAGCGGGUGAGAACCCACGGAAGUACAAGUACAAGUUCCCACCCAAAGUUGAUGAAUGGUUGGUAUUUCAAUCACGGAAGGCGGACUCAAAAGAAGCUAUAUUAUAUGACAACGGAGAGUGGAAGUACGAAGUGAAAGAGCCAGGAGGAACCACAAACGAUGGCCGGCAACAUGGAGGUCGGGCUUUCAAGGUGUCGUUAACACAAUGUGAUUGCACUUGCGGGAGGCCGUUGUUGCUUCAUCUCCCAUGCUCACACUUGUAUACCGCCGGUCGCGUUAGGAAUGUGGACAUCAAUCACCCAUGCACCGUGAGGGAGUCUGAGUUCUCAAUCAUGACGGUCAAGAAAACAUGGGCUCCCCGCUUUCACCCGUACUUUGACCAAUCGCAAUGGCCGGAGUAUCAUGGAGUUCAACUAUGGCCGGAUCCG
rnacentral:rRNA from 1 species